UCAACAUCCUACAAUUCUAUGAAUCGUUGAAGUUGCUUAUUGUAAGCGGUGUUUGUUUGACAGGUAAGUGGCUAGUUUCAGUAAAAUUAAAAAUUUUCUAUUACCUAGGUUUGGCAGUUUUGGUACAUUUCAAAUUCAUGUUGGCAUUAGCACCACAGAAGAAAAAAAUUUACUUGGAAGGAAAGGUGGUUACUUUCAAGGAGAAUCAUGAAACUAGAGCAUGAUUUACCAUGAACCAUUUGGGAACCAACUUGUUAGCUGCCUUAUAGCUAUCAUCCUUCUGAUGAAAUAACAGCAUUACAGCUGUUAGUUACGUCAAGACAUUAAUCUCAAGAUGCAAGUACUGAGCUUUAACGGAUUUCAAUUUACAGAAGCAAGACAUCCAAUUCUGUUGUUGAGGAGAAAACCAACUACACACCCAGCUAUGAAUGGACACAUAUGUGUAGCAAACCGAAAUCGGUACCAUCGCUGAGCAGUGCCCAAGAAAAUGUCCAGGAGCACGUAACACUAUUCCUUAUUAUUGAUUUCCAUGAUAUCAAUAUUGGAUAUGGAUCACGGGAUCUCAUGUUGAAGGCGAGGGGGAGGAGAACACCCAAUCCGUUAGAAAGCUGAAAAAAGAAAUGACCGUCGAAGAAAGGCACUUAAUCCGUGCCCAAAAGCUACAACUCAUCGAAUCGGACUUUUAUAAGCAUGCCAGCAUUAAUGAAACGGCGCGGACGCUAGAUCUUGAUCUCGAUGUCGUUGUCGUUGAUCAAAUUUUCAACUUUUGGGUUCUUAAACGAAAGUCCAACCGAGACAGACCAUUGCUACCGCCCAAAACCACUGAAACGGAAAGAUUAAGUCAGCAACAACAGCAAGAUAUGGAACGUAUGAAAUUGUUUGUACAGCUACGACAAGACCUAGAGAGGGUUCGAAAUUUGUGUUACAUGGUCAGCCGAAGAGAGAAAUUAUCACGAUCGUAUUUUCGAUUGCGAGAACAAACCUUCCACAAGCAACAGCGAUUUUGUCUCUGUCUGAUCUACAAAAAACUAUCACCCCAGCAGAACUGACGCCAAUCAUGGCUCCAAUGUCUAUGACCUUGUAUAUUUACGUGGGGAAACGAUCCAAAAAGAAGGCUUUGAACAAGUCAUUCAACUCAUAGCAGGCGUACAGUCGAACAUCCCCGCAAUGAAAAAGGAUAAAAAUGGAAUCGUUGGUCGUCCCAAUCAUUUAAAGGAAGACAACCCAUACAAACGCACGUACAUGAAUGGGGGCGAAAGUCGUUGAUUCCGCUCGCUAUCUUCCAUCAGUGCCGAAUCGGCUGCCUCUGAUACUGAAACAAACAGUAGAUGGAAGAGACCGGUGAGAACACCUUCGCAAACAUCAAUUACCUCGGUCGACAGCGAUUUCGAUGUAGCCAUUACACAGCUUGGUUCCAAAAAAGCCAGUUCGAAAACUAGUGAUAGAGCUGGCAAGUUCAUUUACACCGACAGUGAAGAAGAAGCGGGACCUUUUAGGCUUUUGAUGUUACCUGCUAAAUUUUUGUUUAAUUGUUUGUAUUUUGUAAAAAUAAAUGUAAAUCAAUUACCAAAAA